GGAGUCAUGAAGGGGGCCGGGAGGGCACCACUACCGUGAGCCCUGCAGCCCUCUCCCUGUGACUGCCUCCUGGAGGUCAGAGUCAAGGUCAAGGCCCAGGAGGGGUCAGCAGGGGGAUGCAAUGACACCAUGGCCACGUGCCCACCUGGCAGCCUAGGGGUCAGAUAGGGUGGGGACACAGGGCAGCAGACAGUGGGCUGGGCACAGGGAGGAUGGCAGGGUCAGAAACCCUCUGGGCUACAGACCUCAGCUCAGGCGGACACAGCCAGCGGCCCACACCGGCGGGACCAGCAGGCCCCUGCGUCUGACACCCUGAGUAGACGUCCCGGCGCGAGCAGAAAGGAUGACGGGAAGGGGGCGGGGCCAGAGGAGUCACGUGCAUCCGGGAUGGACGACGGGAAGGAGAAGGCGCCCAGGAGCCGCCGUCCCCUCGCGGGGCAGCCAGGCCUCGGCGUGGUGGCCUUAGGGGCUGGGCCGGGAGCCCGCGUAGAGGAGGAGGAGGAAGCUGCGGUGAUCGCGCCCGAGGGCUCCGCGGGGUGCGCACUCACCGCCCAGGCCCUCAGGAGGCCGCCGCCCGCUCUCCACUCCGGGCCCGCAGGACCGCCAUGGACCCGGUUGCUCUGCGCGGAAGCUGCAGAUAAGAAUAGGUUAAAUUUUAUUCACCUCAUAAGUGAAUAUAAGUAAGAAUGGAUCAACUUUGUAUUCACCUGGAGGCAGUCCAGAUAUUCACGUUGUCAAACUGAAAUCCUGGAGCAGAGUUUCUACAACUGUGAGUCACCAUCCAUUAAUCAGUUAUGAGAUUGAUUGAGAGAGUUGUUACCGAUAUUUUAAAACAGAACAGAAUGAAAUGGAGUGGGACAGAAAAUAUCAUAGUUCAUCAGCCAUCAUAAGAGUAAGUAACCUGUCAUUAAACUUUGAGUUUGGCGUACCCAUAUGAUAUGGUUUGGCUCUGUGUCUCCACCCA
rnacentral:lncRNA from 1 species